GACGAACGCUGGCGGCGUGCUUAACACAUGCAAGUCCAACGGAAAGGCCCUGCUUUUGUGGGGUGCUCGGGUGGCGAACGGGUGAGUAACACGUGAGUAACCUGCCCUUGACUUUGGGAUAACUUCAGGAAACUGGGGCUAAUACCGGAUAGGAGCUCCUGCUGCAUGGUGGGGGUUGGAAAGUUUCGGCGGUUGGGGAUGGACUCGCGGCUUAUCAGCUUGUUGGUGGGGUAGUGGCUUACCAAGGCUUUGACGGGUAGCCGGCCUGAGAGGGUGACCGGCCACAUUGGGACUGAGAUACGGCCCAGACUCCUACGGGAGGCAGCAGUGGGGAAUAUUGCACAAUGGGCGGAAGCCUGAUGCAGCAACGCCGCGUGCGGGAUGACGGCCUUCGGGUUGUAAACCGCUUUCGCCUGUGACGAAGCGUGAGUGACGGUAAUGGGUAAAGAAGCACCGGCUAACUACGUG
rnacentral:rRNA from 1 species